rnacentral:lncRNA from 1 species
UGCCAGUGAAAGGCAUCCUCCAUAAGAUAAGUCUUAUGAUUAUGGAUGAUAAUUAAGACUGAGCUAGCAAGACCUCAGCCUGCUGCAUAGCAUCUCAUCUGGGAGGCUUAAGUCACCCUAGCCCUCCCAUGUCCGACUGCUGGCUCCACCUCCUUCUGAACUGCUGCUUCUCCAAUCUCCUGUGACUCAAUGAAUGGGUCAGUUGAAUGGCUCUGGCAUUUGCCCUGUUGCCCGGUUCCAGCGUUGGAGCCAUGCCCUACUCCUCUCACAAUCCAGAGAUAACUCACCAGUGAGCAAGGACUGGUGGCUUCACCUUCAAAAUAUUUCUAAGAUGUGAGCAUGGAGGACUGGCCUGGAGGACUUAAACAACCAGCCGUCUCUAGUUCCCACCCAUUUUCUCUAAUUGUUCUCCACACACUAGCCAGAGUGACUUCCUGGGCAGGAAGAGGACACGCCCUCGCCAGCACAUCUGGAAUGGAACCCAAGAUCUCAUGUGGUCUAGGGGCUAGUCUGAUGGCCCUCAGGACUUGCUUCCUAAGCAUCUCUGUCCCUGUCUCUCUGUCUCUCUUCUCUCUUCUCUCUGUCUCUCUGUCUCUCUGUCUCUCUGUCUCUCUCUGUCUGUCUCUCUCUGUCUAUCUCUCGCUCUCUUUCUCCUCAUCCUCUUCCUCCUUGUCACCUUCCCUCCCUCUUGCCCUCUCCAGGAACCACACUGUUGCUAUCUUGGAACACAGAAGGUACACUCUUGCCUCACGUCUCCUGAAGUUUGCUCCUACAGCACAAGGAUACGUUUUCCUCCAGAGAUGUCCAGGGCUUAUUCUCUCAUCUUACAUCGGUAUCGAUUCAGACAUCACAUCUUGUCCCAGGAAGAAACCAGCCUUCUCGAUAUGUUCUAGCACUUUGCUCUGCUCUGUUUUCCUCCCAACACUUUUCACCAUUUGCUCCUCUCUUGUCCAUUGUCUUUUAAUUGUCCAUCUCUCUCAGUAGAACUUAGACCCUCUAGAGGCAGGGGGCUUCAAGCCUUUUGCUUCUUGUUGGAUCUGUGAGGAUACAGCCACACAGCACACUCUCAGCAGCAGCUUUAAGGACAGAUGGAUGGAUAGAUGGACGAACAGACGGAUGGAUGGAGGAUAUGAGCUCAUUUCUUUCUGUGAUAUAUGUGGGUUCUGAGGGACUUGACUCCUUUUUGGAGGAAUACAGCCCCAGCCACACUUGUCCUCUUCAACAGCAACAGCAGAAAUUUGUGAUGAGGGGAGUGUUAACAAGGAAAGGCAUGAGAAAGGAUGAAGAGACGAGAAGAAGUGUAAUACUCCCCCAGGAGAAGAAUAACGGUGGAACAAAAACAAAAGACAAAUAGGCAGCUAUUCAGAGGCCGGCUGCUUCCCUUAGGUGCAGCCCAUGUAUCACCUGUGUGCAAAUGGGAUCGCUGAACACAGCUGCUCGCUCCUCCGAGUUUACUCCCCAAGACCCGUGGAGAGCCCAGCUGGAGGACUCUCUUCCUUGGAGGAAAGCUGCAAUCAGACAUUAUUCUAAUCCAGUCCUAUCAAAUCCAACGCAAAUGUUCUGAACACAACAUACCAUUACAAAACAGAACAGGGGAAGAACAGGCUGCCACGGGCUGUUCAGGCUCAUAAUGGAGAAAAUUUUCCAAAGACAAAUUGGGAGCUCAUUUCCAUCUCUCAGCUGCCUCCUGCUACAUGAUGUCCAUGACAAUUAAAUGCCGCAGAAGAGUGUGGCAGAAUCCAAAUAAACAUCGGUGUGGAAUAAAUUCGUCAUCCCUCCAGCACUGCUGGAGACAGGCAGAGCUCUCCCUCAGGUUUCUGGGACGCAUCACUGGCUAAGGCACUAAUUCACACAAGGACACGAAUAAUGUCAUCUGGAUGAGCUCUUCACUUCAUAGAGCCAAGUUUCCUGUGCCUCCAUCAAGGCCAUCCUGCAGGAGACUGUGCCUGUAGUCUGCUUGGUCCUUCAUUCUUUGCAAAUGAGAGACUCAUUCUUCCAGAUUAUUAGUUUCUUUCUUGUUACUGUGAAAAAAAAUACAUUACAAAAACAAUUUAGGAAGGAGGAUUUGCUUUGGCCCACAGUUUGAGGGAACAGUCUACCAUGAUGUUUAAGUCCAACAAGAUACAUCAUGAAGGCAGGAUGGCAAGAUUAGGUGGCAUCUGUAGUCAAAAGGCAGAGAGAGACGGAUGCUGAUGCUAACGUUGUCUUCUCUCAUUUCCUCUGGAACUCCAGCCUUUGAACGGCACUGGCAACAUAUAGUAUGGGCCUUCCCAUCUCCAUUAGCCCAGUCUAGAAAAUCCAUCACAGAUAUGCCCAAAGAUUUGUCUCCUCAAUGGCUCUAAGUCCUGUCAAAUUGACAAUCAAUAUCAACCACCACACCAAGGUACUAAGAGUGAUGGCUACUUAUGGCUCUUCAUUGAGCCUGGGCAUUGCUCUCAGCCCAAGUUACCCCAAGCCUCAAGCCCCAACUCCUCAGAUCUCAAUGACUGGUAGUUGUGGGGAGGGCAGUCUCAAGGUGGGAUGCCCUGGAGGGGUUAACCCAGCUCCAGAGUUCUCCAGAGGAUAAACUGACACUGUCAUGUUGCUGUUCAGUUGGUCUUUUUGCCUGAACCUGUGUUAUCUGUCCUUUCCAGAUAUUGUUCCUAAAUACUGUCCUUAAUAAAGCUCCUGUUUUCUGAUCAUAGGGGAUCAACCUAUGACACCCUCAAAUAAUUUCAUGAUACAUGGUUGUUGGUCUGCUGGGACAGUGACAUGCUAAGCCCUCAGAAGUUGAAAGGGUCCCCAUACUGGUCCACAUCUCCAAGCCAGAUGUUUAGUUAUAAGCAGCAUUUUCCAGUUACCCCAGAGGUGAAGUAAGUACUUGACAAAUUUGGGGUGACGCAGUGAGAACUGGGACCAGGAAAGAGUAACAGGUUUAGCGACAAUGGUAGCCUUGUCUUCUUUGUAAUUCUGAGGAUGCGUGUCUCAGUCUCUGACAAUGUGGUUGGAAGGCUCCCUGUUCUGCAAACUAAGGGGCCCAGAUACACUCCUCAGAGAACAUCUGAAGCUGCAAAGUAGCUGGCCUGUGAACGAGAGGGUCUUCAUUCCCAUGUAGCUGAUGGCAUAAUCCUGGUGUUUGCUCUCGUUCCUGCUACCUCUCUGUGUAUGGGCAGCCAAGCUCUUCCUUUCUUGUACAAGAUACAUGAAGAGUUACACUCAAGGCUUCCUGGAGGCUGUAUCCAGA